UUCGCAAUGCCCGAAAGGGUGACGAUGCGACGCCGCGUGAGCGAAGAAGGCCCUAGGGUUGUAAAGCUCUGUCGAGGGUUAUGAAAUAUAGACGGGUUAAUACCCCAUUUAUUUGACAAAAGCCCAAAAGGAAGCCACGGCUAACUCUGUGCCAGCAGCCGCGGUAAUACAGAGGUGGCGAGCGUUGUUCGGAAUUAUUGGGCGUAAAGAGCACGUAGGUGGGUUUAUAAGUCAGAUGUGAAAGCCUUCUGUUCAACGGAGAAUUGCAUCUGAAACUGUAAGUCUUGAGUAUAGGAGGGGAGAAUGGAACUUCUGGUGGAGCGGUGAAAUGCGUAGAUAUCAGAAGGAACGCCGGCGGCGAAAGCGAUUCUCUGGCCUAUUACUGACACUCAGUGUGCGAAAGCUAGGGGAGCAAACGGGAUUAGAUACCCCGGUAGUCCUAGCUGUAAACGAUGGGCACUAAGUAGAGGGGUUUU
rnacentral:rRNA from 1 species